AUGCAUCUUUGACAGCCUGGGCUCUGAUUUUUUGUGAGAGAUACUGGGUUUUAUUAUUUCAGAUGCAACAUUAACUGUCCCCGCGCUUUCUGCACGUCUAUCAAGUGGCGUCUCGGAUUGAAUUGGGGACGAUAUGC